rnacentral:rRNA from 1 species
UGGGGAAUAUUGGACAAUGGGCGAAAGCCUGAUCCAGCCAUGCCGCGUGUGUGAAGAAGGUCUUCGGAUUGUAAAGCACUUUAAGUUGUGAGGAAGGGCAUUAACGUAAUAAGUUAGUGUUUUGACGUUACCGACAGAAUAAGCACCGGCUAACUCUGUGCGAGCAGCUGCGGUAAUACAGAGGGUGCAAGCGUUAAUCGGAAUUACUGGGCGUAAAGCGCGCGUAGGUGGUUUGUUAAGUUGGAUGUGAAAUCCCCGGGCUCAACCUGGGAACUGCAUUCAAAACUGACUGACUAGAGUAUGGUAGAGGGUGGUGGAAUUUCCUGUGUAGCGGUGAAAUGCGUAGAUAUAGGAAGGAACACCAGUGGCGAAGGCGACCACCUGGACUAAUACUGACACUGAGGUGCGAAAGCGUGGGGAGCAAACA